GUCAAGAACAACAACGGAAAUAACGGAAAUAACAAAAAUAUCGGAAAUAACGGAAAUAACGGAAAUAAACUCCACAGAGACAGAAACUUACGGCAGAAAAUUAGGAGACAGGUCAAGAACAACAACGGAAAUAACGGAAAUAACAAAAAUAUCGGAAAUAACGGAAAUAACGGAAAUAAACUCCACAGAGACAGAAACUUACGGCAGAAAAUUAGGUGACAGGUCAAGAACAACAACAGAAAUAACGGAAAUAACCGAAAUAACAAAAAUAACGGAAAUAAUAAAGGAAAUAACAGAAAUAACCUCCACAGUGACAGAAAAAGACGGCAGAAAAUUAAAUGACAGGUCUAGAACAACAACGGAAAUAAUUGAAAUAAUGGAAAAAACGGAAAUAAAAAAAAU
rnacentral:lncRNA from 1 species